AUUGAACGCUGGCGGCAUGCCUUACACAUGCAAGUCGAACGGCAGCAUGAUCUAGCUUGCUAGAUUGAUGGCGAGUGGCGAACGGGUGAGUAAUACAUCGGAACGUGCCCUGUAGUGGGGGAUAACUAGUCGAAAGAUUAGCUAAUACCGCAUACGACCUGAGGGUGAAAGUGGGGGACCGCAAGGCCUCAUGCUAUAGGAGCGGCCGAUGUCUGAUUAGCUAGUUGGUGAGGUAAAGGCUCACCAAGGCGACGAUCAGUAGCUGGUCUGAGAGGACGAUCAGCCACACUGGGACUGAGACACGGCCCAGACUCCUACGGGAGGCAGCAGUGGGGAAUUUUGGACAAUGGGGGCAACCCUGAUCCAGCAAUGCCGCGUGUGUGAAGAAGGCCUUCGGGUUGUAAAGCACUUUUGUCCGGAAAGAAAUCGCACUUACUAAUAUUAGGUGUGGAUGACGGUACCGGAAGAAUAAGGACCGGCUAACUACGUGCCAGCAGCCGCGGUAAGAC
rnacentral:rRNA from 1 species